CGCCAUUUUGGAAAUCCAGCCCAGGGAUCCUUCAGCUGACUCCAGCGCCAGUCACCACCUAACUACGACCACGUGAGAAACCCCAAGGGGAACCACUCAGCUGAUGUGUCAACCCACACAACUAUGAGAGAGAAUAGGAGCGCUCAACACGAGCCGGGCACGGUGAAACGUAAAAUGUAGUGGAAAAGAAAAGCAAACUACAAGCAAUUUCUGAUUCUGAUAAACGAUAGGAAGGAAACAGUGUGCAAUAAUAAGGAACAAUAAGGAUAUCAACUUUUUUUAUUGAGGUGGUGUCUCUACCGGGUGAACAGACAGGUCCCAACAGCAGGCUGCUGACUGGUGGCUCCCUCCUGGGGACUACUCUCCCUGGCCUCUGGAGAAGAGAUGGACGCAGGAGGGACAUGCAUCUGGGGAACCAGGAAAUGUCAGAGGUUACUUCCUGAGGAAGGAAGAGGCCCUUGAAGAACUGGAAUGAGGCCAUGUGGCUGACACAAGUGAGCAAGGAUGUGAGGAAACUGAGGCUCGAGUGGUCAGCUAGUCCCGGUUACAUGCCUCUUAAGUGGCUGAGCUGGAGUUUGAACCUGGGGUGGUCCAUGUCGCAGAGCCCACACAGUGCAGUGACAAUAUCCUCCCUCCCAGAGGUGCAGAGUGGCCGGAGCCUCUCUGGCUGAGGUACGAGCGGCUUUCAGGAUGCCAGGGGCUGGCUCUAACAAGGGCUCAUCUCCCCGGGGAGGCUGGCCAAGGAGGAUAAAGUCCCAACACUCAGCAUGCUGACCCCAGGCGCCUCACAGCAGAAGGCAGCUCCCAAUAAGGGAAGUCACAGCUGGGAGCGAAGCAGAACAAGGCUGGCGACUCAGCUGUCUGUCUGAGGCGGCAGCUUUCAGAGCCAGGAAGCUUGGAAAAAUGAGGUGACAAAAGCAGCUGGCCAGCAAUUAGGAAAGCUGCCACAGUGCCAUUUUCUCUAAUAUUGGUGGAACACUUGGAUAUCUGCUACUGACAAGUCAUCGUGUGUGGUGCUGUCUGCAAAGAUGGCCAUGCACAGCCUGUCUCUAUUUGCACAUGCUGCUCCUCUCCUUGAAAUGUGGAAUCUAUUCCCCUCCCCUUGAAUCUAGCCUGGCCUUGGGACUGACUUUGACCAGUGGAAGGAGAUAGAAAGAUUGCUCUUCCAGUUCUGGGCCCCGGCCUUUUGCUUUCUUGCCCCUGACCCACCACGUAAAGUCCAGUCUGUCCCGCUGGGCAGAGAGCCAGUAGCCAACCUUGAGGCCCCAAGUGUGUGAGACAGGCCCUAGCCAUCUAGCCUGGCCAGCACCACAUGAAACAGUCCUGAGAAACGACUGCUGAGCUCUGCCUGCAGUUCUGGCCCACAGAGUCAGGAGCAAUAAAAUGGUUUUGUGGUUUAAGCCAUUCGAUUUUAGGGUGGUUUGUUACAUAGCAAUAACUAACUGAAACAGCAUACUCUCUGGACCCUAAUUUCUUCAUUUGCAAAAUGGUGGGUCUGUCUUCCAUCUUUGAGAUCAAGCCACCUCCUCUGUAACUGGUGUCUGACUUUCUCACUACAAAUGAGCCUUUCAGUACCUGGUUCCCAAAUAAGGGUUUGAAAUCAGUUAAUGUGGCCCUGAAUCCUAGAGACUGCCAGCACUAAUGCGGCUGAAAUUCAUCCAGGAAAACGGAAGAAUGUACCCUGUCAAAGCACUGGCUUUGGAGUGGGAGUCCCUGCCUUUGAAUUCUAGAUCUGCCACUUCCUGGCUGUCUGAGCUUGGACAAAUUUCCUUCUCCAAGUCUCAGUCUCCUCAUCUGUAAAAUGGGGAUAAUGAUAGUACCUGCUAUAUGUGAGGAUUAAAUCAAAUGAUGUCCGUACAUUGCUUAGCAUGUGCCUAGAGUGUUGAAGGUAUUCAGUAAAUGGUAACUAUUCUCCUUGUUGCUUCCUGUAAUAUUUUUUGCUUGUACACCUGUCUAUAGAGGGAGUACCAAUUAACCAAACAUGAUAAUCUAAGCUUGCCCCAGCCAAUCAGAAAAUGAAAUUACACAUUGUCAGGGGCAUCCCUACCAUUGGCGUCUAUUAUCUCUGUAGGUUCAGAGACAAUUUAAAAGAUUUCUUUUGGUAAAAAAAUAACAGACUGCAGGGGAGGGGCAUAAGGAAGAAACUGGAUAAUGAUCUGCUUUUUCUAAAAAGAUAUUGCUCACUGAGUUUAUGAUUAGGGGAAGGUUGCAUGAAAAGGAUUUAAAAAAUUAAUUUGUGGCUCUCUCGAAAUAAAGCCCAAGAAAGCAGCACAUUGGUUUAGCACAUUUUUAGAGAAAAACAACAGAGGAGCAAGAGAAAUCAAAACCUAACCUUCUCCCAUCUGCCACAGAUGAUUUUGUAGCUCUCUGCGAGAAUCUCAUUACCAUCUUCUAAGAUGCUGACGGUGCCACCAGCAAAACAGAGAGGGAGAAAGGGGCACACCCACCCACGCAGCACACACUCACACCACCUGAGCCUGCUCUGGCAGUGAGGUGACUAGACAGAAACCUGGUCCUCUCUCCCAGUUCCCCACUUCCUCCAGGAAUUCCAUAGGCAGACACAAGCUCCGUUUCAGCAAGGAGAGAGUUACCUUUAAAGAAUAUCUGCUCCAGGCAGCAGGAACAACGAGGAGGAGUGAUUGGCCUAGCGAAGACAAGAAUAACACUGAAAACCCACAUUUGCUUCUAGUUCUGGGCCUCCUGGGUCUGUUCUCUCCUGGCUAUAUUUUCAAAUGCUACAUCUUCUGGAGCGUUUCAAACCUGGGCCUGCCGGAUUUGAGGUGCAGGGAAAAUGGACUCCCCCCCAACUCCUCAAAUCACCUUCCCACCUUGCUUUCAAAAGGAAGGCAAGACAAUACAAGACUGUUCUCGAAUGGCUUUCACCUACUGGGGCUGUCAAAAGAAUUUCGAGUUUUGAGAUGAAAAGGAGGAAAGGAGGCCAAGUCCAGAGAUGAUUCCCAAGGAGGUUUUAAGGAAUACUGAUUUUUUCACCAUCUUUCUAAAUCUUCUUUUUGGAGAAAUGUGUGAGGCUGGAACCUGUGUGUGUGUGUGUGUGUAUUCACACACACACAUACCUACAUAUGUACACAUGUGCACACACACAUAUACAUGUGAAUGAAGCUAAUACCACCCAGGAAUUUACUCUCUUUAGCAAUAUUGGAAUCCAUGAGAUUCUAGAAAUCUGCUAAGCCUCUCAGGAACUCAUGAUUCAACUGGAUCCUUUUAUGGGGCCAGAAUCGUAGAAACUCAAGUCCAAAGGGUCACUUUAACUUCAUCCAGUGCGAUUUCAAUCCAGAGUCACUUGACUUCUUUGCCCCAGUCUCCUUGUCUAGAGAUGUCUUAGGUCCCCAAAGUAUUGCCCAUUUGCUGUCCCCUUGUCCCCCAAAACUCUGACCACAUGAGCAGGGGGCUCCUUUCUUAUGAGGAUCCCCUAAGGACUUCAGGGUUCAUGUGGGCAGAUGGGUAGGUCUACAGGGCUGAUGAUAAAGUAAAAAUAAACCACAUAAUGCUCUGGUGGUCAGUCGGUUUAAUGCCAUGAGACCUUGGGCUGGAACUUUUAACUUGCUAACUUCAUCAUUCAUGAACUAAAUGACAACACUGAAUUACUUUCAGGAGAGUCUCAGCUAAGGCUGUAAAAAUUAGCACUAGUUGAACCUAACAUGAAUCAACUAGUCCUUUACGGUUGUGAGGGACUCCGACUAGCUUAAGCAAACAGAGGGAAUGUAUUGACUCCCAUCACCGAGAAGGGCAGGGCCAGUGCGCUCAGACAAGCCACUAGAGCUCUUUGUAUCUCUCUAUUGGCUUUGUUCUCUCCUAUGGCUGGUGGAUAAAGGGAGGUGUGGAUGCAGACAGUUCCAUUCUUAUGUCAUCACAGCUUAGCAACCCCUGAAGACAGAAAGGUUGUUCUCCCAAUAUCUGUGAAAUCAAAGGGAAAAUUCCUGCUUGGUGCAGCUGGGAUCAUGCAUCCACCAUUUGGGCAACCACUGAGGAGAGAGGGAUGG
rnacentral:lncRNA from 1 species